rnacentral:rRNA from 1 species
CCUACGGGGGGCUGCAGUGGGGAAUUUUGGACAAUGGGGGCAACCCUGAUCCAGCCAUGCCGCGUGAGUGAAGAAGGCCUUCGGGUUGUAAAGCUCUUUCGGCCGGGAAGAAAUCGCUCAAGCUAAUACCUUGGGUGGAUGACGGUACCGGAAGAAGAAGCACCGGCUAACUACGUGCCAGCAGCCGCGGUAAUACGUAGGGUGCGAGCGUUAAUCGGAAUUACUGGGCGCGAAGCGUUAAGACACAGGGGAAAUCCCCGGGCUUAACCGGGGAACUGCGGUUGUGACUGUGGUGCUAGGGUGCGGCAGAGGGGGGUGGAAUUCCACGUGUAGCAGUGAAAUGCGUAGAGAUGUGGAGGAACACCGAUGGCGAAGGCAGCCCCCUGGGUCGACACUGACGCUCAUGCACGAAAGCGUGGGGAGCAAACAGGAUUAGAUACCCUUGUAGUC